rnacentral:tmRNA from 1 species
GGGGGCGAAAAGGCUUCGACGGAAAUCAUGAGGUUUUUGGUAGCAUACCGAGUUGCUUACUCGUAAAACAAGUAAAACUAAAUAUAAUUGCAGACGAUUAUAAUUACGCCGUAGCAGCCUAGAGCAGCUACCGUCCUUAUUAAAAUCUUUUCUGCAGAUUUAAUAAAGGGCGUCGACUAAGCAGAAAAGCUAUAAAAGAAAGCCUGAUUUUUUUAUGGUUAAAUUUUUUCAGGCUAUUUUGGAAAGUAUCCAUUCUGAAGGAGACUUCCAAUAAAAUUUAAAUUUCAGAAUAAGUAUGUAGAAGCCAUUACUAACUAUUUUCGGACGCGGGUUCAAUUCCCGCCGCCUCCACCA